GGAGUUCCUCUGCGGCUCAGCAGGUUAAGAAUCCAGUAUUGUCACUGCUGUGGUGCAGAUUUGACCCCUGUCUCAGGAAUUUCCACAUACUGCAGGGAUGGCCAAAAAAAAAAAAAAGGAAAGAAGCAGUUGAAUCCUUGUCAAUGGUGUCAAGCCAAAACAUAACUGUUAUGUCUUUCUCAAUAAACAUGAUAACAGUUAAAAAUUAUAUAACUUUGUCAAAGUUAAGUCAUAGGCAAAAAUCCUGUAUAUCACUAGGCAUAACCUCUCAAGAGGUAACAUCAGCUAUUAUGGAAGAACUUGCACAUUUUCAUAAUCAUUUUGGGAGUUCCCUUGUGGCACAGCAGGGUUAAGGAUCUGGAGUUGUUACUGCAGCAGCUUGGGUUGCUUCUGUGUUGUAUGUUCCACCCCUGGUUCAGGAACUUCCAUGUGCCAGAGGUAUGGCCCAAAAAUAAUUAUUUUUGGAUAAGUUCUCUAGCCCUCUAUAUUAUUUCACUAAUAUUGACAGCUAAACUGAUUUAUACACAUACAUUCUAUCCACAAGUAGAACAAUUUGCACCAUCUACCAGCCACCAUUAUAAUCUUUUUUUUCUUCUUUUUCAGCCACCCCAUGGCAUAAGCAGUUCCCGGGCCAGGGAUCAAAUUCAAGCCACAAUUGCAAGCUACACCACACUGUGGCAACACUGGAUCCUUUAACCCACUGUGCUGGGCAGGGAAAUUGAACCUGUGCUGCAGAGAUGCCACUGAUCCUGUUGUGCCACAGUGAGAAUUCCCACCAUUGUAAUCUUAAUUGCCCUAUUAUCAUUGUGAGUCCUGUACAUGAGACAUGAAAUCAAUAACCCUUCCCUAAACAUAAAAACUACAGUUCAUCAGUGAUACUGAAGCUAUGAAUACAGAUUAUAAAGACUUAAAUUUUGACUCCUCUGUAACCCCACAUUAGAUCUAAAAUCUGAAGUAUGACUAACAGAAGUCAACAAUCAUGUAGCAUAGUCAUCAAAUAUUAAUUUCCUCUGAAAAUGUUUUACACUCAUAAACUCUUCCCUCUUUAGGCCUAAAAACAGCUGCUAUACCAGGAUGCCUAAAUUAAAGGGCCCUGAUAGCGACUAGGCCUAUGUUGCGAACAAUGAUCAGCAGACAUCAUUUUAUUGUGUUCAAGAUGGGACAGAGGGAGACAGCUGAGACGUGGGGCGAAUCCAGAGCUGUGCUGGGUGGGCACCCAACAUGGGAAUGAGCCAAGUCCCUGGGACCUGCUAGGGCUGUGAAAGAAGUGUGGGGUCUGUCUCUUCCCCCAGCGCUUGUCCCAGAGAAGUCAGUUCCCACCACUUUUUACUUUGGUUCUGGGUUAUUUUAAUUGUUUCUAACCUUAUGUACUAAAGUUGAACACACUACUUUUGUUAUGGCAGGCUAGGCCAUUUCCUGUCUUGCAGAAAACUCAUGAGAAAGCAGGGAUGAAAGAGGAGGUCAGGUCUGGAUUCUGUUGAGUAGGAAUGGGCAGCCAGAAGGAGACCCCAGAGGCAACUUCCCCUGCUGCUGGUUCAGCAAUCAAUUCACCAGGCAAAACUGCCUCCCUCUUCACCUUGUGCAUCCUGGUGAAUUAGUUCAUCAUUUAUUUAUUUAAUGGCUAUACCCACAGCAUAUGGAAGUUUCUGGGCCAGGGAUUGAAUAUGAGCUGCAGCUUAGACCUAUGCUGCAGCUGCAGCAAUGCUGGAUCCUUUAACCCUCUGAGCCAGGCCAGGUGUUGAAGGUGUACCUCUGCGUGAACUAGAGCUGAUGAAGUCAGAUUCUUAACCCACUGCACCAGAGCAGGAACUCCCUGUUGAACUGGUUUAAUAAUGAGGUAGUUCACCUGAGGAGCCUCUACCAGCCCCAGGACUAAGACCCUUCCCAAUGCAAUGAACCCUGGAAGGCAGGGAACCACACUCAGAGCAGAGGUUGUGGCCAGACAAGCCUACCUCAGCUUUGGAUCUGACAUCUAAACACAGACAGAGGCAUAGAGCUUCCCAGGACUGAGACCUGUCUGGGUCUCUACUCAGGACUCCAUGUCUCCUGAAAAGUUCUUAGGACUGAGGCUGGGUCUCUAGCAGGUCCUAGUGUGGACAGAACCUGGUCAGGACUAAACAUAUGCAGUAAACAGGGCGUGGAAAGGUCUAAAUUUACCAUGUCAACAGAACUCAGUCAGGUUUAAACUAGUUUAGGGCUGCUCUCCUGGGAGGCACAGGUCACAUGUGGGGUCUCUCACCUCUGGACAGGGGCUUACACUUGGCAGGAAGUAGGAUGUUCACUUCUUGAAGAAAUAAUCAACAACAGGCUCCACAUUUCACCUCUAUCAGUAAACUGCACAAAAUGUUUGUCAUUAAAACAUUUUAACAUGCAAAACAAAAAAGUUACCAAUUUAUCUGGCCACAUGAUGGUCAGGACCCAGAAGUCAGCUGGGAGCUUCUUGCAUUGCAGCCCCAGCUCCCACAAGGACAGACCAGAAAUGACCCAAUUCCACCAUCCGUAUUAUUGACAACCAAAAAGACUCAUACAUGUACACUAGAUGCACAAGUAGGACAACUUGGACCAUUUGUUAGCCACCAUUAUAAUCUUAAUUNCAUGAGACAUAAAAUAAUCCUUUCCUAACCAUGAAACUACAGGUCAUCAAUGAUACUGAAUCUACAGAUACACAGAUUACGAAGAUUUAAAUUUUGACUCACCUCUAUAAUCUUUACAUCAGAUCUAAAACUUGGAAAAUUAUGACAAAAAGAAGUCAACAACAAAGCAGUAUAGUCAUCAAAUAUCAGUUUCCUCUGAAAAUGUUUCACACUCAUGAGCUGCUUCCUUUAAGCCUAAAAACAGCUGCUAUCUGAGGUGUCUAAAUUUAAAGGAUCCUGAUAUGAACAGGAUCAGGCCUAUUUUGUGGACAAUGAUGAGUAGAAGUGCACCCACUGCCCACUCAGAGUGAUUGCCUGCUCCUGGCUGGUUCCACGUCCUCCUCUGAGGGGACCAGCUCACAAAGCCUCCUCUUAGGAAAAUUCCCUUUGCAAACCUUCCCUUCAGUAGGAUGCGUGUUGCAAAUCCUUCAUUUGAUGGGAUUUGUUUUACAAUGCUGUUUUGGGGUCACCCAGGAGGUUUGUCCCUCUGAAGUGGGUUUAGUCUCGUGUCAGCAGAGCAGCUUUCCUGGGUCACACUCGCUGCCUGCUCGUCCAUUUCUAGCUCAGACACAGAAAGAACCCCUCAGGUCCCAAUCUGACUCCUGUGUGCCCUUCAGGGUCACCAGGAGCUCCCACCAGCCUGGGGGCGGGGGGGGGGUCUGUCCAUUCUGUCCUGGGGAAGCCUUCGUAUCCUCAGGUGGAAGAGGCAAGAGGUACUCAUGGGGCCUCCCUUGUGCAGCACAGUCUCCAGCACCCACCUACUGACCUUAUUGCUCUGGAUGAGGGGGCCAAGGACCUGCAGCAUCUUCUGGUUCUCAUUUCAUUCCAGCAAUGCUCACAGGAAAAUCAUGCUAAGCAACUCUGUGCUGGCUACAAAUAGAAGACGCUUGUUCACAUGCCCCUCCCAGUGCAUGGGGCUCUUUUGGUCAGGCUCCUCCCAGGAUAUGGGGCUCACCUGGGGAGGCAUCAUGACAGGGCUCAGCACAAAGCCCUCACUGCAGACCACUCCCAGCCCCACUUGCUAGAGCUGACCCUGAGUACCUCAGAGCAGGAUCUGAACAAACAGCAGCUCUUGGACAGGUCUGUGCCCCAGGCUUCACUCUGUGCAGCCUCCCUUCACUAGGUUUUCCAGAGGCUUAAGCUACACCAGAGUAUCUGGCCUCAGUCUCCACCUACCUCCCCUUCUCUCUUAACUCCUGGAUUUCUCUCAUGAGGAGAGGGUUUUCUUGAAAUUAUCUCCCACUCAUGGGCCAGUUAAAAUGAUCAGGAAACAAGCUAGAGCUGCAGCCC
rnacentral:lncRNA from 1 species